CCCCCCCCCCGAGGCAUAACCCCCCACCAUAUAUCCCCUACAUCACGAUAAAUGCCACUGUUCCCAAUUGGGAUCAAAAGCCACGGCUGUAUUUUCACCCUCUGUCUUCAUACCACCCCAAUGCUUCGAGUCCAGUCCUGCAGACGUCAGGGUUAGAUAAAACCCCUGUGAAAUGGCCCCAGGAGAGGGAUGUGGACCCAGAAGAGGAAUGUGGACCCCAAAGCCCCCUCAGCACCGCAGGCCUAACAGUGGGGUGAGGACAGAAUGCCCUCUCAGUCUUCAACUGUGCCCCAAAGUGGAGCAUUUCCCCCUUGGAGUCAAUGUGGGGACACCCAGAGAUGCUCAUCCCCAUCUCCCCUCGGGGAAGGAGGGGCACCCGAAGCCCCAUCCCUGCUUCCCUGUCGCUUUAAGUCCCGGCUGUGCGUUUUCCACGUGGAGAUUUUUUCCUUUUCUCCUUUUAUCCCUCCCUUCUUCCCCUGCCCGGACUAUGGGGCCAGCACAGGGUCGGAUGGGGAUGAGUGCCCGAGCGGGGCUCACUCCGGCACUGGGCGCCACCGUGGGGACCGAAGUGACCCCCGGGUCCCCCCACAGCUGCGUGCCCCCCGUUUCUUUCUUUCCCCGUCCUUCCCUCUGCGCUCCUCCCUUCUCCCCGCAGGGACUGGAAAUACCAGAGUUGAUGUCAUAGGCAGCGGUUCGCCAGGACGGGAAGCUCAGCCCAGCCUCCCCCUGCUGCGUCCCCGUGUCCUAUGGCUCUGUGUGGGGAUGCGGGGAUGUGGGGUCAUGGGGUUGCUCCCCAGCUCCCCAGCCCUGCACACAACCAGGUUGCGGGCACACAACCCCACAGCCGGCUUACCCCCCUCGGCUGUCCUCAGACCCCCCCUUGACUCCAAUACCCCAUACCUGGGUGUCCCACACGGCUCGCUGCCCCCUCCCCAAGCACGAAGGAGCACCGAGCAGUGCCAGCAGCUCCGCCACGUCAUCCACGAGACAACACUGUGGCAUUGGAGACACCAUCCCCAUCUCCUUCACUGGGGGACACAGGACCCCACCCCACAUCCCCCAGUGGGGUGGCCACGUGCCCGUCCCCAAGCAGGACCCUGGGCCACUAGUGGAGGUAGUGACACUGCAGCAUGGGGGGGCCAGCACCCACUAGAUGGUGCCAGCAGCCCACGCUUGGGUGGGGACAGCCACCCCCUUGGUGUCCCACUUGUCCCCUUCUCAUCUCUUUUACCUCUCCCCGUAUAACCAAACCGGCUGCAAGGAUCACCACUUCUGCACCAUUUCCCCAUCGAUGUGGUUUCUGGCGCGGUUCGGAUCGAUGCUUGCUUAAACUCUUAGGGUUUCCCAGUAUCACGGAACUGCGCCAGGCUCCCCUCCAACCUCUGCAUCCUCACUCAGGCAAAAAGAAGUGCCGAUUUCAUUUAAAAAAGGACUUUCCCCUCGGUUUUAAUGCAAGACUCGGUGGUUUCCAACCCUCCUCCCAGCUGGCACCUGGGGGCUUCCCAUUCCUCCCAGCAUCCGCCCGAUGCUCGCCCAUGGGAGGGACCAAAAGCCAAUGGUGACAGCAUCUGAGGGUCACUAUGGGGAUUCAGGGAGGUCCUCCAACCUUCAUUUCUUUCUGCAGUACAUCACCUCCAUUUUGCCCGCGGGAGGAAUCCGUGCUGCUGAGCGUGGUGGCUGCUUGCUCCGGAGCGCGUCAACACGCUCGGAUCUCACCUCUACACCUCUAGAAGUGAAAGGCUGAUUCUCUCCGUGCCAUGCCGGGGGACCCCCCCAAAGCCACCCGGCCCUUGGUGGCACCCCAUGACGAGUGCUGGUCCCUGUAAGCCGGUUAGGUUGGCUCCCAGCUGCUACAAGGCUGAUUACCAGUAUGCUCCCGUUUAUCCCAUGAAAGCCGCCUCGCGCCGUGAAUCCGCCCGUGCCACGGCAUCUAAACCU
ensembl:lncRNA